rnacentral:rRNA from 1 species
AACAAGGUUUCCGUAGGUGAACCUGCAGUAGGAUCAUUAU